AAUACUCUCAAGCAUAGCUUGGUAUUGGGCUUUCUUCAUCCAUUUGGAUGGGCCUAAAAAUUAGCGGCGAUGUCCUUCUGGCUUUCAAGCGUAGUAAUAUAUAAUUUUUUCGUCUUGAAAACAAGGGAAGGAGUAAUCUGCCAAAAAUAUAAGCCUCCCGACCUUUUUAA
rnacentral:misc_RNA from 1 species